GCCUUCAUUGCGAUUGGAAGCCAGGGAGCACGUAUUACUUAUAGACAGAGACCAAAGCUACAGAAAUCAGCCUCCCUCUGCAGGUGACUUUGCACUGAGAGAAUGUUCAGUGCAGAGCAGCCCACGGUACAAGUCUCUACCUAAUACUCAUGCAGAAACAAGUCACUACGAAUACAUGUCAGUGUCACCUGAGAGUUUUUAAAGGGGUUUUCUCAAAACCGCCAACAUUUGUUAGUUAGCCCUCCCUAGGCUGUACCCCACUAUACUCUGGUUAUGGCAUCAUCCUCUCCCCUGGUUGGAAGACUAGGAAGGGGAUGUUCAGCAAUUCAAAUGACCAAGGGCCUCAAGGUUCUGAAUGUGCUGGACUGCUGAUCACCAGAGUCUCAUACGUGUACAGUCCUGGGACCCUGAUCUGUGCCUCUUUCUUAUGUGGUGCUUACACAGACCACAUGGGAGUCUGGUCUCCUCAUGACAAAUAAUUACUGGAAAAGACCAUCUAUCCAGAGGAAAAGAUAAUUGUGUUUACAUUUUUCCUUUUAUUACCUAUGAACCAGAUGGUGGAACAUUAAUUUUUAAACAUGAUUUAUUCAUUUUUAUUUUAUGUGCAAUAAUAGUGUUGUCUGUGUAUGUCUGUGUGAGUGUCAGAGACCCUGGAAGUGGAGUUACAGAGAAUUGUGAGCUGCCAUGUAGGUGCUGGGAAUUGAACCCAGGUUCUCUGUAAACGUAGCCAGAGCUCUCAAGUGCUAAGCCAUCUCUCUAGCCCCAGGACAGCAUGGUAACUUCUAUCUGAGGAGUCACUAAGGACCAUAUUUCAUCCACCAUUAUACAGGAGAGGAGAGAUUUCUCUCGGACUGAAGAGAGAAGUGAAAUCCACAAGUUACCUGCCCGAUCCCAGUGGGGUAAAUCAUAGGUGCCUUCGGCUUUUUUCUUUCUGAAAAUAAAGUUAGAAAACAGUGAAUCCUCUUAAAACCCUCCCAAAGGGCAACAUAAACACCAGUGAGUGAGUGGUCAGGAGCCAUGUGGUACUUCAGUACAGAAAAGUCUUGAGCUUCCCAUGCUCUUCAUUGUAUCCAUGUCCUCACCCCAUCACCCCAGCAAACAACGAUGUCACAACUAGCAGUGACAAGUGGCGGGGGAGGAGAAUGCACCUCCAGGCCUGGAAGGACCUACAUCCAUCUAUGAGCAAGAGGAGGCACAAGUACAAUGAACAGGAAUCCUCCUCCCUACUCCCUCCACCUCAGAGCCCUGAUUUGUCCUCCUAGGAGAAAAUACUCUGUGUUAAGAAUUACAACCUACCUGGAUUCUUUUACUAAAGGAACCCAGCAGUGAAAGGACACUUCCUUACACACACGUGCCAAUCUCACUUGGGUGGUGAGAUGGUUCCAUCGGUAAAGGGACUUGCCAUCGAGUCUGAGGACCUGCGUUUGACCCCUAGAACUCACAGGGUGAAAGGAGAGAACAGACUCCUGCAAGCUGUCCUCUAAUCUGCACACACGCAACAUGGCAUUUGUGUACCUAAAUACACGGCACAUAAAUGUAGAGAUCAAGACAAAAAACCCAUCACCCAGCAGGGAAGUGUUCAUGGAGCUCCAGCUAUCUGAGGAGUGGCUGAUAAUGAACAGCUACCUCAAGAGGAAGAAGUAAUUAGUUUUCUUCAAGGGUGUGGCUCCUGGCAGGUAGAACUGACUCCAGUGGAUGGCCACACACCCAAGCGUACAUAAAUACUGAGUAAGUUGGACAGGUGAAGACACAAAAUUGGAUGGGUAUGAAAUUGUGGGAAGGGAUGGAUCCCAGAAGAGUGGUUCAGCUUGAGUAUGAUCAAGAUGUAAUUAUGCAAUCCUUAAUUAAUAAAAAAAUUUAUAUUAUAGGGCUGGAGAGAUGGCUUAGCAGUUAAGAGUACUAGCUGCUCUUCCAGAUGGUCUGAGUUCAAUGCCCAGUGACCACAGUGGAUCACAACCAUCUAUAAAGGGAUUUGAUGCCCUCUUCUGGCAUGUAGGUGUACAUGUAGCGGAGCCGCAUAUAAAAUCAAUUAUCUAUCUAUCUAUCUAUCUAUCUAUCUAUCUAUCUAUCUAUCUAUCUAUCUAUCUAUGUUAUAAAAACAACAAACAAGAAUUACUAUUUACACACAGCCUUUUACAUAGAAAACUUACCAAACAAAAGGCCGCGGAUACAAUCAUGCAAAUGUAACCUGACUAAAGUUAGUGUUUACAGCCAACAAGAAAGAUUCUGCUUUAUAAAUGAGGAUACACAUAGCUUAUGAUUCAUCUAUACUAUCACAAGUGUAUCUUUCAGAAAGAGCUCAAGCUGGUUGCUGCUAGGAUGUGCAGAUCCUCUAGCUGCUACAGCCUAUAGCACAUGGGUCAACAGUUGGCAUAAAGUAACAGCCAAGUAUUUAAGUAUGAUUCUUAUUGAACAGUGAACAUGUAAGUCAUCUUCUUUCUCUAACAAACCUAUCCCUUCUGAUGUUCUCUUAACUCAUGGCAUUGCUACUAGUCAGAGUACAAAAGCCAGAGACAUCAUUACUCCAGGAUGCCAUGGCUUCUUCCUUCGCUUGGUCAUGCAUCCUUGUGGCAUUGCUGUAAAGUGCAUGCCUUUUGUAGAACCACAUGGUUGUACUGUUUGACUAAACUAUCUCCAAAUUCAUCCGGGCGCCUCUUUUCCACUCUUUUUUUAGUCACCAGAACCAUAUUUCACAAAUCCUAGCCCUUUCCAUAGGCAUCUAAUAAUAUAGCUAGUCUGCUUAAUUUUCUAAUCUAUAGACUAAAACUUACAUUUCUCUUUCCCAGAAAGCCGUCCCUGACCCAAGCUCAGACAGCACCGCCAUAGUAACUCUCCGUGGAGCUGAAGGAGAACCCUGAUUUUAUUCUAGUGACUAUCCUAACAGCUUAAUAAUUUUCAGAAGUGAUCUUUCUGAACUCGAGACUCAUGUACUUAGCUGAUGGGACCAUAAGAAGAGGCCUAGAGGACGACCCAGCGCACCGGUGAAGCCUCAGGUCUUCGUAUUUCUGAGAACAGACUAAGGUUCCCACAGGCUUUCCCUGAGGACAGAGGCUUAUAUAUUUAUUUAUUUUGGAUGAGCUGGAAAAAUACAGAUGAAGUCAGUGGGCUGGAAACUCUUAACUGAGAACAGGAACCACACCAGGUAAGAGUGUUCGUGCCUCAUGUGCCUACCUUUGGUCACACUGGGAGUCACAGUCGUGUUUUUGACAUCAGGAGUGGCAGUUGUCUGGGCCGGCAGCAGAGGAAGGUCAUUCCUACUUCGUGGUUGGAGUGCUUGAGUAAAUUUAGGGGCACGACCUUGAAAAAAGUUUGAAGAAAUCUUUACUUUUAAUCAUUAAUAUUUGAUUAGGAAAGUCCAAUUUUAUGUUUUAAAUAUAGUUAUAGGACAUGUCAUAAAUCCAAGGCAUAUCAAACUCUCAUAUUAAAAGUAGGCAUACCAUUACCUAGUUUGGGAUGAACUGUAGUGUUUUUGAGGUUAUUGCUGUUCCGAGGUGGGGGAGGCUGAGUAAGCUUUGGAAGGCGACCUUAAAAAAUGGUUUAGAAACGUUUAUACAUUUUGCUUUUAAAAAAUUAGUUUAAAAAGAGCAAUGUUAAAUGGUUAACAUUUCCUAAAUUGCUUAAUUCUACAGAGCAAUUUUAAAUCUCAAAAUCCAGAUGGAUAAUUAUACUUUGCAUUAAAGGUAGAAAAAUGAAGAUUUUUCAGCUUUAAUAAGAUUUUUCAAUCUUUUAGAUAAUUAAAUAAUUAAUAAGUAACCUUAGACGACUAUUGGGGAUCAAAUGCUGUUCAGUGCUAUAGCUAUAACUUAAUAUGUGCCAUAUUCAAUUCUUUUUAAUGAGAAUGUAUGGAGAGCCAACUAUGUUAGGCACAAGUAAAUAGCAUUAAAAUGUUACAAAAUAUUAAGUGAAUUUAUUCUAGUUUUUAAUGAAUUCCAAAUCGAAGUUCCCCAAGCUACGGUUGCUGCUCUCGUCCUCGUGCAUGCAUGUCAGUACUCAGAAGCUCAUCUUAAGUCUCCAAGACUAGAACGGGAAAGCCAUCAUAAUCACUGUCUCACAAGAAGGCUGCUGCCUUCUUCUCAUUUGUAUUUUGAAACCAUUCUGAUGGCAACUUUUUAACAGGCAAACAAAUGAGCAAUUCCUACUAGAGAGAGGACUCUGAAAGGGGUCAAACACAAAGAAGUGGUAUCUACCCAAGUGACAGAGAUGCAUCCAUGCACUGAAGUGUCACAGUGUGCCCUGUGUGUGACUGCUGUGUGUCGUAAGGAGGACAUUACAGGGAAGUGGUGAGGACACUGUUACUCGCUGGCUCUUUACCUUUCAGAGUGAACUGACAUCCCAGCAAUUCCACUUUCAUGGCAAUUUUCUGUUGCCACUGGACAGGGUUCACUCUAAUGAAACGUGCAAUAAUUGGUGGCAAAAAGUUAUUACGAACAUCCUUGUGAUAAUCUUUGUUUCCUUGAAAUAUCUUUAAAAAAUAACAAAAAUUGGUAUUUUACAUCAAAAAGAGGCCAGAACUGGACUGCCCCACCUAAGCAUGUUCAACAGCAUCUAUAAAGUAUGGCGACAGAACAGACUUCUCAGAAAACGACUCCAUUAUCAUUUUGAAAAGCAGUUAUUAAGAAGCUGCACAUUUUACACUGGAACGUACAUGAUGGAAACACUAACUAUAAAAAUGUUAGGACAGCUUAAGAACCGAACAGGAGCUCUAACCUGGCAAUAUGGGAGAAGUUUCAAUUACAGUGUCAGUUUACUGUAUCAAUAAACUAUCGAUCCCAGUCCCUGGGGUUGUUAAAUAUCAAUUACUUAAACUUUUAUAUUUAAAGUGGAGAAGAGCCAUUACACAAAGGACUGGUCAAGAUGCGCAUGUGCAUUUUGGAAUCCAUCUCUCAAUGGGCUGGCCAUGGACAGACUAGAGAAUGCAAGCAGGCCAAUACCUCCCCCUGCUGGACCAACUACAUUAUGGCAUGCCUCAACACCACAAUCCCAGUUUCAACACUUGUUGCUUAUGUGAAGUAGCAAAAAUCCUGAAACACUUUCUGUCUUUGAUUUAAGGACUGCUAACUAAACAGGUACAAAUGCAUUAUAAAAACAAUCUUUAAGUAAAAACAUAAUUAAAAGUGAUCGACUCAUGACCUCAACCCUUUCAAGUGCAUGUGUUUUCUCCUCAGUCAGCCCUUAUUUAUAGGGUAUUUUCAUGUACUUGCCAUAAGUGGUCUUCAAGGCAGGGCACAGAAAGUGCCCACAGAGUGACAGUGUGUGGCCAGCAGCAGGAGCUGAGUUGACUUAAUGGCAGGGCUGCACUGAGUUAAGCAGGGCCUGGCUUUCCCCUGGAGCCAAAUUAGCCACAUCUGUUCUAUUAGCUAAAGUGAGAACAUGUAUAUACUGGACUUAAGUCAUCCCCAAGUAUGAUAGCUCUUUCUCCUUGGCCCAUCCGCAUGUAACUAGAUUAUACAUGCUCGAAGAUACAUUAAGAUCUUUUAUUUUCAAUAAUGGUCGCUCUAAACCUAAAAUAAUCUCCCUUUCUAUAACCUUCUAUGCUUUCCUUAGAUACUGCUCUGAAAUAGAAUAAAGGUCAGUGCUUACAGUUUCGUUACCAGUGAGAAGGAACUAACUGAAGCAUCAUUCCAGGACACAAUUAUUGGCCAAGGCUGGGGCUGUAGCCCAGUUGGCAGGCUGCUUGCUUAUGUGCACAAAGCUCUAAGUUCUAUCCCCAUCACCUCAUAGAAUGGGGUAUGGUGGAGCAUAUCUGUAAUGAAGUCAGCUUCAGAGUCACAAGUUCAAGGUCAUCCUAACUACACAGUUCACACUAGGCUACAUGAGACCCUAACAACAUUUACUGAGAAUCUGUCCACAGGGAGGUUUCUGAGACAUCCUUAGGAAAAAUUAAAAAAAAAAAGUACAUACAUUCUCUUUCAUCCGCCUCUGAACACAAAGACAGUGUAAUAUUAGAAAGCAAUAAAUUAUGAAAGUUUAGGAUAUUGAUUAUGCUUUCUGGAAAUGAAAUCAAAUUUAGGCUCUGUGUGUAUGUGCAGAACUAGAAGAUGUGUCAAAACAAAUACAAGUUACCCGAGACGUGAACAGAUGGACAAAUUUCAGUGCGAAGAAAUGUGCUAUUUCAUUCAGUUCAGAGACUUCCUCUUCUGUCAGUAACUGAGAGAGAAGCUGGACCUCAGCCAUAAACAACUCAAGAACUGGGAAAGUGCAUGCUGGAGUAAUUCUCAAGACACUGGGCAACAGGCAGCAGAGGGCCAGAACCAGAGUAGGGAACCAGAGAAAGCAAGCUCUGCUUAUCAGUGCGGACUGGUGAAUUUCCAGGUCACAGGGCAAAAGUAUCCAUCCCACACUCCAGAGAACCCGCUAGUCUGGGCCAUCUGCUGCAGCACGAAGAGCCAGAGAGCACGAGGUCAACCGACACCUAGGUUUUCGGGGGUAGAGCUUAGGAGAAUAAGGACAGGAAAGGAACAGAAUGAGUGGCAGCGGGAAUGGAUGGAUGGACUACAGCAAGGUUACUGGGCUCUGCAGGGAUUUCCCCUAAGUCCUCAGCAACUUAGAGUCAGGAAAAGAACCCUGCGAAGAGAGGAGAAGCUUAUGACACACAGGCUUCAAAACACUACAUCAUCAGCACAUACAAGUAGAUUUCAUGAUAUGUGGGACGCCGCCUUAGUGGGGAGUUAGAACCCAAAGCUGCUCAUCCCUGCCUAGCAAUGCGCACAAGAAAAUGUUUUCCUGGUGCUUAAUUGUAUCCCAGAAUAAAGCUUUGUAUGUAUACACAUAAAGGCUUAAUGAUGAUAAAAACAUCCAGAAGCACUCAAUGGCAUAGUGGCUGGCACGGAGAAGUGUGUGGAGUUACUGGAAGAGCACACUAGGCGUUACACGCUCCACGUUCAUAUACCUGUGAAAUAAUAUAUGAAAGGAAAACCUAAAAUCCAAGGUAAAUAUGAAGAAGGGAAAAAUACAGCAUUGGAGGUAACAAUGAGAUUGAAAGAUUGGACAGUGCAGAAGAACAAACAACGGAAAGACAGACCAAACCAAACCAAAAACCCCCACAAAAAUGAAACCAAACCAAACGAGCCCAAAUGCCUCCAUAGAACCUCAUGGCGAGAAGAAAAGAUUUUAAUGAAAGAACAAGAAGAGAGCAGCAGGGCUGUCGUGCAGUCCUGUGAGUAGAUUAUGAAAUAACAAGUGUGCUGGGUAAGUCUCUGAAGGAAAGCACUACACGUCCACUGAGAGAAAAGGCUGUCAGCUCCCACUGCACACAGCACCCAUCUUCCCUGGGGACAGAGGCUCCCCCACUUUAAGAUUCUCUCAAGGAUCAAGCAGGAACCUGGGGAUGGGACAAACACCCCUGUGACCCAUUUCCACUACUGUCCCAUGUUGUCCCUGCUUGUCCAGUUCCAGUGUCUCCACAGUAUUUUGCUAAGACAAAAGGGUUGUGUCACUGGAAAUUAUGGGAAUUCUGCACAUAGGAAAAAGAGAUUUUUACUGGCACAGAAACCUGUGAGGCGAUCUUACACGGCCUUUCUAUCUUUCCUGUACUUCAGCUUUCACUCUGCCUCCCUUUCUCCUUAGGCUUCAUCAUUUGGUAGAUGUUAUAAAGACAAGGAGUUGGAUGUAACGAUUUAGAAGUUCUUACUUGGGGUUGGGGAUUUAGCUCAGUGGCAGAGCGCUUGCCUAGCAAGCGCAAGGCCCUGGGUUCGGUCCCCAGCUCCGAAAAAAAAAAAAAAAAAGAAGUUCUUACUUUAGCAGCCAAAAUACUUGGAUAAUAAUUCAGAAACAAUUAUAAGCGGUACUAGUACAAUCACAUAGACCUAGAAUCACCGACAGUUUUCUAAGCCUACUUAAGACUGUGAAGACAGUAACACGCGGUACCUGAAAUAGCCAGCAGAGAGCAGGGUGAGACAGCAUGCCAUUUAACAUUACAGGAUCACUCUACCUUGUCCUGAGCCGCACCAGGCUCUCUGUACACAGUCCAUUUCUGCCCAUCGUCACUGUACAGAACUCUGUAGGCAGACACAUAGUAAUUGUGCUCUAUCAGGGUAGAUCCAGUGGUUACGAUGCCUGCAGAACAGAGUUCUUCUCAUUAGUGCAGAGGUUCAGAGUCCCAAGUCAGCCAUACACACCUAUGUAUGCUUCACCCUGCAAGCAUUUCUGUCUAUGGCUUGUUUCCACCUUUGUGGGCAGCUUCAGUACAACAGUUGCUAACCCCUGGCUUUGCUCCUUUGGCGAGAUGGGGCAACGAGGACACAUGCACUACUGGGCUUUUGGAGCCUGGAUUCAUACCAUUAGAAGAUACGUUUCAAUUACUAAGAAUGAUUCCUGGGAAUGCACAUUAAGCAUGACGGCUAGUAGGCAAAAAUCAAUCUUUGAUCAAAUAUAUCUAAACCAAUUGUAAUUAUCCCAAUCACUGAUAAGUUUACCUAAGCUAAAUUUAUACUCAGCACAUGUGGAAUACGAGUUACUUGUAGCAUUUAAAAUAUAUUCUCCUUAACUAUAAAUUUCUUAAUAACUGUAAGAUUUCAAGUCUCAAAGGUCAUUUUACUGAAAUUCUAUCUUAAAAAGAUCAUAUGAAACUAGAAUUAUUAAAAAUUAAAUACAAAUUCCUCUUUUGGAAGAAUUUUAAAAAGAAUUAAAAAGCAACGUUAAUACCCGCGAAGAAAACUGAAGCUAUAUAAUUUUCAGUGACCUAAUUUCCGAAAAUUUCAGCUGCCAUGGGGUUUCCAAAUAAAAUCAGUGCUAGCAGAGCUGCAGAGAGCCGAGUCUCUUAACCUGUUAUCUUCUUCUCCUUAUUAAGGUCAAUUUGCAGCCACUGAUGCUCAUCAGUGGCAAAAGCAGCCCAGGGAGGCCCCGGUUUUCUCAGCCUGGCCUUCUCGGGUUUCCAGCUGUUCUCCUGCCCCAUGUGGUCAGUCCACUCCAGUACAGAUGAUGCUGUUAUCUGGGGAUCGGCGAUCACACCUGACUCCAUCCCUAGAGUCCCAUAGCAACCUGCAGUAGAGAGGAAAAUCAAUUCGGUUCCUAGAGGUGAGUUUGAAAUCUCUAAAACAGUGCUUCCUGCAAACUUCCGAUUGGACAGUUAAGUAACUGCUUCUUGGGCCUUUGCCUUUGUGUCCAACCAGAAACCUACAAACAUGCAGUUGUCCCUUGUUGUCUGUGGGGGUCCACUUCCAUGACAUCCCAUGCUUCCUGGCAGAUACUAAAACCUACAAAUGCUAGAAUCUUUGAUAUAAACCAGGACCAGGAUAGCACUGGCACGCAGCAUGCUAUCUGUCAAUACUAAGUCAUCUCUGAGAUACUUACAAUGCUAAAGGAAAUGUGUGUGUGUGUGUGUGUGUGUGUGUGUGUGUGUGUGUGUGUGUGUGUGUGUGUGUGUGAUAUACAUACACCAUAUUGCUUGGGGGGAAACAACGUGGAAAAAAAUCUACAUAGUACAGAAACAAGAUUUCAUCUGUAUCUUUCCAAUCUGUAGGUAUGAAAACCAUGGAUUUGAGGGUCAUAGACUAGACAUAUUUACAAGCAUUAGCUGUUAGUCUAUGGAGAUAAACUAUCCUGUCUCUGUGAGGCCUAGCAGAGUAGAAGGCAACUUCCCCCUGGACUUCUGUAGGUUUUGCUUUGUCCUCAGUAAGCCAUCCCUGUCUGACUUCAAGCUUCAGGCCAGUGCAAAGAAUUCUCUCUUCAGAUAAGUGCAAAUCCUGCUUUCAAAGGGACCAUGUACUUGCUUAUAACUCCCCUGUGGAUAGUGAACUUCUGAUUUAGUCUGUUCUUUACAUAACUGGAUCUCUAUUUUACUUAUGGUGUUCUUGAAAAGCAAAGGAGAAAGAAUAAACAACUCAGCAGUCACUGGGUGCCUGGUGGCGCUCAGUACAGCAUUAGUGAUUCUGCAAAGAUGGUGGCCCAAGUCCAUGGAAGGCUUACCACUUGUCUUAAAUGUAAACAGACUCGUAGAUAAGUAUCCCCUGAAAGAGAGAAAGGGCCUCAUGUGAUAUUCAAUUAGCAUGUUCCUCAUAUUCAUCGCAGUGAAACUUCAAUUUCUUCUUCUGUCUAAAGGGCUAAGACCCCAUGGCUACAAGUCAGACAAUGAUAUGCAUGAAACAAAUAAACAAAAAACCAUCAACAACAAAAAGUACUUCCAAGUAGAACAACCUGUGAAAUUACCAUGAAGAGCUUUUCUGCAAGCCUGUCCCCUAGGUUCACCCACAAUUGUACAGUUGUCAGUGUAACCUUUAAGUCUUACUUUCUGCUUUUUCAUUAAACAGAUCCAUGAUUUUUUCUUUUUUACUACUGUGAAAACACAUGGAGAGAUAGCUGUGUUUUCAGAGGAUGAGGUGAGACUUGAGUCUCCUGGUAAACACACCAGAGCCGGCUACUGACAAAGAGACUGCAUCUCCCUCGGAACAAAUCGGCCUGUCUGUGAGUGAGCUGAGGAAGAGGAAGGGUCAGACAACAGAACCUGCCUGUGAAGGACCUUAGAACACUUAAGACACCCAGAGACCCGGUGGGAGCUCAGUUAUCCUCUGCCCUUAACACAACAUUCAGUUACAAGAGGAAGUUUUUUGUUUUUUGUUUUUUUAUUUUGUUUGAGACAGGGUCUCUCUCACAAUCUUCCCUGGCCUUGAAAUCACUAAAUAGCUCAGCUGGAUUGUGAACUCCCCAUCCUCUUGCUUCUGUGGCCUAAGCCUGGGGGUUGCAGGCAUACAUCACCACUCCCAUCUUGGAUUCCACCAGAAACCUACGAACAGUAGGUGUGCCUUGAUAUCUGUGGGCCCAGUUCUGACAUCCCAUACUCCCUGACAGAUAAGAAACCAGCAAAUGUACAUAAGAUGGUACAGUAUCGGCACAUGGCCUACUGUCAACUUGAAGCCACUUCUGGUUUACUUACAAUGCUGAAAAAUGUAUACUUUUUUAUAUAUGAAAGAAAAUGGUACAAGCCCCCAAACUCUCUCUAAAAGGUAAAACACAGAAAAGAAUGAAAGGAUGUGCAAAUAAUUAUAUAAAAGAAACCAGCAUGCUUACUACAAAGAGUAUUUGUACUUACACCAUGGAAGUGACAUUGUUGGCCAAAGAACUUUCGUAAUAUGGGGUGCCUUUGCUAAUCACAACGCUGAUUUGGCCACCCAGCACAUCUGACACUACUCCUGCAUGGAUUCCAGCCAUACACAGCGGUGAAGACUUGAAAAAGCAAACAACAAACAAAAAAGGUAAGUGAAUCUUUCUCCUGAUUGAUUAAUCAUAAGCAAGAUACUUAUUUUUUCUCAAACAAUUAUCAGGUCUCAGAAACAUAGGUUCUUGUAACAAAACACAUUUAUAGCAGAAGUUAGUUUUACUAUAAAGAUAUGAAACAUAUAUGAAAAGACAGAGACACAUAAUGCAUAUUCAUCUUGGGACAACCAGGUGGCACCCUAAGGGUUUCGAAGUUUAAAAUAACAGUAUCCACACAGCUAAGUACAUUUGUAUUCAACUUACAUCUCUAUAUCCAUGAGGAAUCGUUCCAGAUAUUUCAGCAAAAGGCAGCAGACAGCCAGCUGGGCAGUACUUACUAAGAAUGAAAACAAGUGCAUGAUUACAGAAUGCUCAUUUUCUGCAGGAAAAUACGCCAGGAAGGACCGCAUACACUUCAUACAGGCUUCCUUUCAGCACACAGAGCACAGCCUCAGCACGGCAUGGAGCCACGCCUUGUUAAAUAGUCCAUAUUGACUUUUCUACCCACACACUUUGAACAUACUGACAAGAAAUGUUCUUGAAAUCUACAAUUCCUUAUUUUACUUCACCAUGAACAGCAGACAUCUUUCUACUGUCAGACCUAGUCACCACGUCUCACAGGUUUCUAUGUCCACCGUGUUACCUGAUGAAGCCUGUGACUUAAUGCUAACUAAAUAAACAUAGCCCUGUCACCUAAAUAAAUAUAGUGGUGGAAGAAAACAUUUAGCCACUCUCACACAGAUAUCUGGGGUGGGGAAGGGGAUUUUAAGAUAACUGGAAGAAUUAUUAUUUUUAACAAAACACAUACAUUUAGCAAAUGUGCUAUGUACGGGGCAGAACCCCAAGUGUUUCAGGUAAUCCACACAAGAAUCCCACAUGGGGGUUACUUUUAUUAUUACUACUCCCAUUUUACAGACAGGAAAAGUAAAAGAACUGUGCACUCGAGUCAUGAAGCUGGGCUCCUCUUAACCCAAGCUUGGCACAGCUUAUUUGAGCUAGUGGGUAUCGCUGAGGUAAGUCAGUGAUGGGAUCUGCACACUGGAAGCUAGGAAGAUCGUGGCCCCAGACAGGGGUUUGGUGUUCCUGAAGUGCAGUUGAGUACAGGAAGGUUAGAGGAUUAGGGUCCAGAUCCUGCAGAAGUCGUGUGGGCUAUGAAGUAGGGGAUAGACUUCUAGAUGAAAACUGGAAAUCAGUAAAGGACCAGGACAGCUUACAGGCACAACCUGAUGAGGAACUUUUAUUAGAGGUUUUCUGGCUUCUAGGAAAGAAAGAGUCAUGAGCGGAAGGAAGCUCCCGAAAGGGUGACGAGA